rnacentral:rRNA from 1 species
UACGAAGGGGGCUAGCGUUGUUCGGAAUACUGGGCGUAAAGCGCGCGCAGGCGGUUCUUUAAGUCAGGGGUGAAAGCCCAGAGCUCAACUCUGGAAUUGCCUUUGAAACUAGAGAACUUGAGUACGGGAGAGGUGAGUGGAAUUCCGAGUGUAGAGGUGAAAUUCGUAGAUAUUCGGAAGAACACCAGUGGCGAAGGCGGCUCACUGGCCCGUUACUGACGCUCAGGCGCGACAGCGUGGGG